rnacentral:lncRNA from 1 species
AUGAAGGCGGCUCCCAAGCAGGUACUUCUCCUGGGGCACCUAGGAACUCCUCCAAUAGGCGUCGCUGUCUUACAGUUCUUCAGCACCUGGGGGCUUGAGACUGAGCUCAGGUGGGUGCUACCUGAGGAUUCUAGGUUCUCAUCCUGCGCUGGCACCUCGGAGAGGGAGUGCUGUGGCCCGAACGUCCCCGCUCCUCCUCCCAGGCACGGGUUCGGGCCCCAAGGAGGGCUCGGGCUCCUGUGCUGCACACGUGCGGAUCUUUCCUCCUCCGCUAACCCCCUACCUGAAGCUCUUGAGCUCGGAGGGAGAAGGGGGCGGGGUCAGCUCUGGAGCCGGGAGAGGCGGCGGAGCUGGAGUCCCCGUAAGUUAUUCCGGAGGAACAGAAGGGCUGAGACUGCAGAGCUUGAGCAGCGGCCAGAGAAGCAGGGUACCGGGAUGUCGGAUCAGGGAGGAGGACAGCGGGAGGUCAGUCCCACCAGGGCGCCCAAGAAACACACCGCCUUUAACAUCUGGCGGAUCAAGAAGAAGCACCAGCAUCCAGCGAACUAUGGAGUCUUCGUUCCCCAUCCUCCGCCUCCAGUCGUCUCAGAGGAGCCCGGGACACCUACCCCCAGUGUUUUGGAGCCACCUGUUGAAGAUCAUGAAGCUUCUCAAGAAACCUCAGAAUAUACAAGACAUUCCAGAGAACUCCAGCCCUAUGAGAUCUCCCCUGAGGGCUCUUCCCUCACAGAGAUCGGAAUCCUCAAAAAGGUAAAGUUUGGGCUGAGGCAAUGAUCGUUUUGUGUAGUCUUUAUUUUUAUUAGGAGCUUAAUUUAACAGAAAUUUAAAAACACUUAAGUAUUAGGCUAUUUAAUUCAUUCCAGAUGUUCUCUCAUCUUUUUCAUCAUAAUAUGCAUUUUAAUAUUCCCACAAUCCCUCAGUAUAUAUUUUCUUAUAUUCUUUUAAAUUUUUACUUGAUGACAUUAUUUUAUGAAAAACAUCUCGAUAUAUUAAAAUUUUUACUUUAAAAAAUAUACCAAUCUUGCUUAACUCUUGUCCUAUUAUAUGGGCAGCUAAGUGGCACAGUUGAUAGAAUACUGGCAUGGACUCAUCUUCAUGCAUUCAAAUCUGGCC